GGGGGCUGGCGGGGGUAGGGGGACUGGCUGCUCGGGGAUAGGCUGGGCAUCAGACAGCAGGUGGUGAGCAAUUGCAUUGUUCAUCACUUGUUUGUGCAUAUUAUUAAUAGUAGAACUAUUAUCAUCAGUUUAUUAUUAUUAUUAUUAUUAUUAUUAUUAUU